UACGUAGGGUGCAAGCGUUGCCCGGAUUUAUUGGGCGUAAAGGGCGCGUAGGCGGCCACGCACGUCCGUUGUGAAAUCGCCCGGCUCAACUGGGCGGGGUCGGCGGAUACGGCGUGGCUGGAGCAAGCUAGGGGGCAAUGGAAUUCCCGGUGUAGUGGUGGAAUGCGUAGAUAUCGGGAGGAACACCAGUGGCGAAGGCGGUUGCCUGGAGCUUUGCUGACGCUGAGGAGCGAAAGCGUGGGGAGCGAACAGG
rnacentral:rRNA from 1 species